rnacentral:lncRNA from 1 species
UUGAUCACGCUGGUGUGGGAACUAUAAAGCAAUACUGAGGGGAGUCUGAGCACUGGCAUUUUCACUUACAUACCUUUUGAAACUUGAAAUAACCUUAUGAAGUCGAGCUGGAAGAAACGAAGAACCUCAACAAUUUUUAUUUCUACUUUUGAUCAAGGAAAAGCGUAUUUAGAAGGUUCGCUAGAGAAAAAUUUAGCAGUUUGGAGGAUUGAGAUCCUUUGGCAGAGAUAUGGGAGUGUGAGCAGGAAAUAUUUUUUUAAAGGAAGAGCUGGUGUUUUAGGAUGUCAAAGGUACAAAUUAUGAUGGUGCCAUGGUUGACAGAAAUUUGCAAGAUCUCCGUAUCUACAUGAACUCUUUGCUCCUGACUAUUAGCUGACUGGUCCAGAAAUUCUUGAUCCAAGCUUGAUAUGUAAGCUUCUCUCUCCUGUGAAUAUGGCACUGAGAGACACAAGAUUAGAAGCCCUGGGUGCUGAUCAAACUCAUAGCAAGGAAGAGUGGUGGCUCAAGACUGCCUGCUCCUGAGACUUCUGAGAAGGGUGUCUCUCUGUCUGUGUGGAUGCCUGAUGCUUCUGGUAUUUCACAAAUCUUGAGCCUGGCCAGGAGUUUACUAACAGGCACCCCUGUGUCAUCUGAACAAGUAACUGGAAGAACCUAACACAGACACCUGUAGGGCAGGACUCCUUAUUUUCUGACUCCCUGGCUCUGACCACAGAUAAAUAUCCCGCAGUGGAAUCAGCCUUCCCAGGGACCUCCCUGGACUCUGAGAAGUGAUUAAAGGGACUGUGCGGCAGUCAUGGGGAUGCAAGCAGCUGUGGCCAUCAAACUGGUUCUAACAGACAGUAUGAGAUCUUCAUGAUUCUGGACCAUAAGGAUUCCAAAUAGGCUGUUCACUUAUGAGUAGGCCUGUAACACGGACGUGUGAGAAUAAACGCCAGAGAAAAAUUUUUGAUGGUAUUGACAUGGAAUGCAUCUGUGGCACAGGCCAGCGAAGAGAUGGGUUGGCUUCCUCUUCGAGUCAGAGCAAAAGGAUGUG